CAACCCUUAAGCCUAGCUUAGUGUUGGGAGACUGCCUAAUACGCAGCUCCUCAAAACCAGUGGCGGAGUCUGUUCGUACUCUGAGCGUAGUAAUUUUUUAUCUCGCUUCUGCAAGCCGGCCAGACGACAGCCAUAAACCGCACCCUCUCGGGGGGCACUUUUUUAAG
rnacentral:misc_RNA from 1 species